rnacentral:rRNA from 1 species
GGGCCCGCACAAGCAGUGGAGUAUGUGGUUUAAUUCGAAGCAACGCGAAGAACCUUACCAGGUCUUGACAUCCGACUAACGAAGCAGAGAUGCAUUAGGUGCCCUUCGGGGAAAGUCGAGACAGGUGGUGCAUGGUUGUCGUCAGCUCGUGUCGUGAGAUGUUGGGUUAAGUCCCGCAACGAGCGCAACCCUUGUCAUUAGUUGCUACGCAAGAGCACUCUAAUGAGACCGCUAUCGACAAGAUGGAGGAAGGUGGGGACGACGUCAAAUCAUCAUGCCCUUUAUGACCUGGGCUACACACGUACUACAAUGGCCGUUAACAGAGGGAUGCAAUCCCGUGAGGAGGAGCAAACCCCUAAAAACGGUCUCAGUUCAGAUUGCAGGCUGCAACCCGCCUGCAUGAAGUCGGAAUUGCUAGUAAUCGCGGAUCAGCAUGCCGCGGUGAAUACGUUCCCGGGCCUU